CCGCAGAUGCCUUCCAUCAUUAGUCUGGCCUGCAGAUUAUUUUCUUCUACCUUUAGAACUUCCUGUCUCCAGUAAAACUACGCCUGCUCUCCACCCAUCAAUCUGCCUUUCUGUUCUCACAGCCGCCUCAGGAAUCGCUCUGACCAGUGGCUGCGCAACAUCCCGGCACUGCCAACAGCAGGAGCUUCCAGGCAUGCGCAUCUACUGCUGUGAUUCGGACCUCUGCAACGGUGCCCCCUACAGGCGUGGGGGCACACUGCACUGCCUGUGCACGGUUCUUGGCUUGCUGUUGCUGUGGCUGCAGCAGUGAGUUUACUGCUGGCUGACUAAGUUUUUAGUGAAUGAAGAUCAUCAUCUUUAUGCAGCUUGAUAACACUGGUGAGGGUUGCAGUGGCUACAGACGUUAGCAUGUUCUGGGUGAUCUCCAGAUCUUCCCAAGCCAGUUGGGAGAUAUAAUCCCCCCAGUGUGUCUUGGGUAUGCCAUGCCCCCCAGCCACCCGCUGGGACAUACCCUGAACAGCUUGCUUGGGAGUCGACCAGGUGGGAUCCCGAUAAGAUGCCCAGACUGCUUCAGCUCCUCCGGAUGUUUCCUUCAGACCUCCAAACCCCUCCCCCUGUCACGGAGCAUCGGCCGAGCAGUAGGGAAACCACGUUUCGGCUGCUUAUACUCUUGACCUUGAUCUUUUGAGCUCUACGCACAGUUCAUGCCCAUUGGUGAGGAUCUGGGUGCAGACUGACCGGUGAACCACAGCAUUUGUCUUUUAACUUGCUCCCGGUUCACCAACAUGGACCCACUCAGUCCCUGAAAAACUGCAGCCACCAAACUCAUCCGCCUGUCAUGCUAUUACUGGCACUUGUGAACGCCAUCAUGGUGUCUUCACUAAAACCCAACUCUCAUUUCUGGCAUUUGUGAACACCUGACUCUCCCCGUCACCUGAAAGGAGCAUUCCCGGAAAAGCACUAUGGCCUCAGAUCUGGAAGUGCUGAAUCCCACCCCUGCCACUUUGCACUAGGCACUGAAGGACUCAAGUGCAUGCUGUAGGUCCUGGUCGAAGAAAGCCAGAAGUGUAACAUCAUCUCUAGCUCCCCAUAGCAGAUGUUCUUCUGGCCACAGUUGAGCCUUGAUAUCCUGUCCAUAAAAAUCUAAAAAAAU